rnacentral:rRNA from 1 species
UACGGAAGGCAGCAGUGGGGAAUAUUGCACAAUGGGCGAAAGCCUGAUGCAGCUAUGCCGCGUGUAUGAAGAAGGCCUUAGGGUUGUAAAGUACUUUCAUCGGGGAGGAAAAAACAAAACUAAUAAUUUUAUUUCUUGACGUUACCCGAAAAAGAAGCACCGGCUAACUCCGUGCCAGCAGCCGCGGUAAUACGGAGGGUGCUAGCGUUAAUCAGAAUUACUGGGCGUAAAGAGCACGUAGGUGGUUUUUUUAAGUCAGAUGUGAAAUCCCUGGGCUUAACCUGGAACUGCAUUUUGAAACUGAAAUACUAGAGUAUCGUAGAGGGAGGUAGAAUUCUAGGUGUAGCGGUGGAAAUGCGUAGAUAUCUGGAGGAAUACCUGUGGCGAAAGCGGCCUCCUAAACGAAUACUGACACUGAGGUGCGAAAGCGUGGGGAGCAAACAGGGAUUAGAUACC